rnacentral:miRNA from 1 species
UGAGAGAAAAAGAGAGUGUCGG